rnacentral:rRNA from 1 species
GACGGAAGGUGCAAGCGUUGCUCGGAAUCACUGGGCGUAAAGGGUGCGUAGGCGGCCUGGUAAGUCUGGCGUGAAAGCCCAGGGCUCAGCCCUGGAAGUGCGCUAGAAACUGCGAGGCUCGAGUGCCGGAGGGGAGAGUGGAAUUCCUGGUGUAGCGGUGAAAUGCGUAGAUAUUGGGAAGAACACCGGUGGCGAAAGCGCUCUGCUGGACCUGCACUGACACUGAGGGACGAAAGCUAGGGGAGCGAAAGGG